CCCACGGGAGGCUGCAGUGGGGAAUAUUGGACAAUGGGCGAAAGCCUGAUCCAGCCAUGCCGCGUGUGUGAAGAAGGCCUUCGGGUUGUAAAGCACUUUCAGUGGGGAAGAAAGCCUUGGGGCUAAUACCCUCGAGGAAGGACAUCACCCACAGAAGAAGCACCGGCUAACUCCGUGCCAGCAGCCGCGGUAAUACGGAGGGUGCGAGCGUUAAUCGGAAUUACUGGGCGUAAAGCGCGCGUAGGCGGUCUGAUAAGCCGGUUGUGAAAGCCCCGGGCUCAACCUGGGAACGGCAUCCGGAACUGUCAGGCUAGAGUGCAGGAGAGGAAGGUAGAAUUCCCGGUGUAGCGGUGAAAUGCGUAGAGAUCGGGAGGAAUACCAGUGGCGAAGGCGGCCUUCUGGACUGACACUGACGCUGAGGUGCGAAAGCGUGGGUAGCAAACAGGAUUAGAUACCCCGGUAGUC
rnacentral:rRNA from 1 species